rnacentral:rRNA from 1 species
GGGCCUGCCCAGUGAUAUUUCAACGGCCGCGGUACUCUGACCGUGCAAAGGUAGCAUAAUCAUUUGCCCUAUAAUUAAGGGCUAGUAUGAACGGUCUAACAAGAAUGGGACUGUCUCUUUUAAAAUUUUUAGAAUUUGGUUUUUAGGUGAAGAAACCUAAAUUAUAUUGAUAGACAAGAAGACCCUAUCGAGCUUUAAAACAAUUAGCUAAACAAAUAAACAAUACUAACUUUAGCUAAAAAUUUUGGUUGGGGCGACUAAGGAACAAAUAAAGCUUCCUUAAUAAAUUCAACACUAAUUAGUAAUGAUCCAAGAUAUUUGAUUAAUAAAAUUAGUUACCGUAGGGAUAACAGCAUAAUCUUCUUUAAGAGUUCUUAUCGAAAAGAAUGUUUGUGACCUCGAUGUUGGACUAGGAUAUCCAAAAGAUGCAGAAGUCUCUAAAGGUUGGUCUGUUCGACCAAUAAAAUCCUACGUGAUCUAUCU